GUGUAACGGAUCACCUGGCACCCCGACUGGGUACCUCCGUUGAAGGAUGCUCCUAGCGCUUCCUGAGGACUCCAAGCACUGCAGCAGACACCAAAACCACCGAACCGUAGGAGCAUAUGAAUGCUCUCAAGCAUAUGAAUGUUGUAUACAGUUGAAUAGGAACCAUACGAAUAGGUUUACACUCCUAGCAGUCAAACUGGAACAGCAUACAAUAAAUCCUUCCCCAAUAAUGAGACGACACUUCACUUUGAGGGUUAAAACAGGAACUCUCUGUACUGUCACAUACAGUCUCUUUUAUUCCCAAUCCACAAACAUAGUACAGCCCACAGGGCGUUGCAAAACAACCAAUCAAUCCGUACAAUACACCCAGACACUCCCAC